AUUUUUUUCAGUUUAAAGAAGUUAUCCUCUAGCCCAUUAUGCCAAGGAUUUUAAGCUGAAUGAAUAUAAAAAUUAAUCAAAUAUGUUUUGGUGCCUCCUGAGGUGAUCUUAGGCCUUUCUAGUUUGAUUUCUAAGUAUGGCUAACUACAUUAAUUGAUUUUUCAAUGUUAAACCAAAAUGUACAUUUCUGGAAUAGAUUUAACCUGGUCAUUCUUUAACUUUGGGUUCCCCUAAAAAAUGACCUUGAGAGAAGGGCUCAGCGUCUGAUCGUUCCAGCAUCUGGCUGUGGAGCUGUGUGACUGAGUCAUCAUCUGUUGCUUUGUUCGCUGACUUCCAACCUUUGUGCCUAGAUGAUAUUGAAGUCGCCAUCUCUCCCUUUGAAGGGCAGGGACUUGUGUAUGUGUUUGUCCUUUCACUCAGCAUGGCUCUUGGAGUUUCUGGCUGCAUGAGAAGGUCUAGGGAGACUCUCCCCUUCCAAGAGCCCUCCACGUUGUCUUCUGCCUUUUACGGCUACUGAAACCACAGCACAAGGUGUGGGGACGUUACCAGGUUCCCCCAGAGCCAUCAUUCCUUGCGUGCCUGCCUCCUUUUGUUUCGUCCCCUGGGAUUUCUCCUACAUUCUUGCAAGGUCAUUAUGAACUUAAAAGGAUGCGGAUUUUUAUUUUAUUUUAUACUAUGGAGGUAUUUUACAGCAGGGAUUUUUUCAGGGUAUCAAGACUAGAAGUUUUGCCCAAAAGGGAAAACCAGAGGCUUUCAAUAUUUUUUGAAUUCUAUCUAAAAACCUUUUUUUUAUGUUCAUUCUUUGUUUUUGUACUAGAAAGAACAUGUAACUAUUUUAUAUAUAGUCUUUAAAUGACAUUUUAUGUGAAUACAGUGUCACAGCAAUAGAUAGCAAUACCAAAUAAAAUACAUUCCAAAGAAGCUGCUUAAAAAUUUGAAGACAUUGAACCCUAAAAGGAUGACUUAUUUCCUCAAUAAAUCAUGUAGAAAGGGAAACUUGUUUGCAGUAUGAAUUAUAUUUUGUAGUAUGGGAAAACAAAGGAGAGAAGAGAAAUCCUCCUUUCCUUAACUAGCAGAUUUCUGUAAUGUGACAGCCUGGGAGAGACGACAAAGAACGUAGUUUUGAGAGGCACCUUUUGCCAUUUACUUCUGGCUGGUCAGGACUGCCACCUAAAGCCACACGCAACUUCAGGAGCACCACCCACAAAUACAACACUCUGAACAGGGCUCCCUGGCUGUGUACAGUGUGGCUGCCCUGAUCCUGUGGCAGAUAACAUUCCCGAACAUUUAGUUACUCACCUGUGACAUCAGAAUCAUAGUAAAGUUCAUGCAAAGAACAAAAAGGAUAAUAUGCAUGAAAUCACGAUAUAAAUGUUAUCGCCACCAUGCCCAUCUUUGAAAGAACCUAUACAAUCGCUACAAAUUCUGCUUGAUUUUUGCCACUCAUUUAACUUCUUAAAAACUUUACCUUACAGAAUAAAGCCAUAAAAACAUCUUGGUUGAAGCAAAGGGAAGCAGCAAAGAAACUGACUCCUCCCAGUUGCCCACCAUACACUCCCUUUUCAUCUCAACAGUGAGUUAGGUGGACAACCGUCUCCCACUGUCUCCCGGUGCCAUCUCUAAUCUUACAGCCUCACUGGAGUUAUCCAAGGUCCUGAAGACACCCCAGUGACACUCCCCAGUCUCACAGUUUGAAGGUUGCAGUUCAGGGAUCAGACUGUCUCUCCAGGCAACAAACAUCUGCACCAGCUGGACUGCUGCUACUGUGCGGGGUGGGGUGUGAUGGACAGUGGGGUCCUGUACUACGGGCCUGUCGUCCUGGGUCUGUUCUGCCCAGUGGACCUGUCCAGGCUGCUGCAGGAGUGGUGAUGCUCAUGCCACCUGGCCACUUGACCUUGCUCUGCAUAACCUAAUGACCACCAUCGUUUAAUGGUUGCAUCACAUUCCAUCACACGGUCAAUAGUUGUUUUUCUCUACUUUUUUAUUGUUAGGUAUUGCCUUUUUUUUUCUCUUAUUUCUUUCAGUGAUAAAUGCUGGUUUGAUGAAUGUGGUAUACAUCUUUUUUGUUUGUGUUUUGCAUUAUUCCUGGGAAGAACAGAUUUCUCAGUGUAGAAAUACUGAUUCAGAAGCUCUGCAUGUUUUUAAGCUUCAUAUGCGUAAUGCUGAGUUGCUUUCUGCAGAAGUUAGCCCAACAGCAUAUAACCAUGCCUCUUUUUUCCCAUUCUCUUCAGCGCUGUUUUAAUAGUGUUAAAUAUUUGUACCUUGUAAUAGUGCAAAAUUAUGUCCCUAUGUUUCAGUCCUCUCUCCUUUGAUUACUAGAAAUGUUGAAGUGUUUUCAUUAUUAAGCACAGGUGUAAAUCCAUUUCUACAGUUUUGCUAACUUUUCUUGGGUUGGUAAUAUCUUUAUCACCAAUGUAUGUGAACUUAGAUUAUAGGAAGUUUAUUAAACCUUUGUGAUGUAUUUGUUAUAAAUAUUUUUCUGAAUUAUUAGAUAAGUUAUAAUUUGGUUAAUUAUGUGUGUUGGCCCACAUAAGUUUAAAGUUGCUAUGUACUCAAAAUUUUUCCAUUGUGAUUUACUUAAUACAUUUUCACACUUAGAAAUUUCUUCCUUGUCCGCUGUUGCUUACGCUUUCUUAGAAUUUAUUAUGUCCUUAUGUAUUUAAUGCUUUUCUUUUAGUAAAUGGUGAAAAUAAAAAUCAAAACCCUUC